ACUGCUAAGGAGUUGCCAUUAUCAUCCCUGAUAUGGAGGCGGGGAACCCAAAACACCGAGAGCAGUGUGUGCUUAGGAAGCCAGAGAGCUGGGAGUAGAGCCCCAGCAGCCUGAUCCAGAGCCCCUGUUCUUCACCACCACACUGCCCUCCUCUAGGGAGCACAGUGGGGGUCCUGGAGCCUCUUUCCAUCUGUUGGAUCUCGGUGAGAGGGUCUCACUCUGUCACCCAGGCUGGAGCUCUGUGGCACUGUCACACUGCAGCCUCAGACUCCCAGGCUCAAGCAAUCCUUCUGCCUCAGCCUCCCAAGUAGCUGGGAAUGCAGAUGAUAACAGCCAAGAAAACAAAAAUUGAAGUGAACACGAUGAUGAAGAGAGUAAAGAAAGGUAAAGACAAGGCUGAAGGUGGCAUUCAUAAAAGUCCCAGCGCUGAAGGGAGAGGCUGUGCUUGAAGAAGAAAAAGUCUGCUAACCAAGCAUGCAGAUAUUCCCGAAAGCGCACUAAACCUGAUAUUUACAAAAACAUAGUUUUAAAUGAUCAAGACAGUAAGUUUCAACAUCAGCUAGAGAACAUGCACAGUCAUACCGCCUAAUUUUGUACCUGUGAUAAACUCUGGCUAAAACCAAUCACAUGGGAAAAAGCUUGUUGGAUGAACAUCUACAUCACUAUUGAUUUUCAGCCAGCAUAGAAUGCAUGCGGCUUGAGAGAAACUGUGUAACAACAAAAAACUCCUAUGAAAAAGCAAAUGAGUUGGAAUGGGCAAAGAUGAAGAGCUCAAUGACUAAAAUGCUGAUCUCUUUAUCCUUCCUGUUUGCAAAUAAGCCGUGGGAUCACCAUCUUAACUAGAAUUCUAGUUAAGUCAAAACAUAACACUCAGCCACACACUCAAGAAUGAGCAAUACUUUGGGAACAGAAGAAUUGUACAUUUUAUGAUUUUCCAUUGCAUGUAC